UACGAGGGGUGCGAGCGUUGUUCGGAAUUAUUGGGCGUAAAGGGUGCGUAGGCGGUUUGGUAAGUCUGCUGUGAAAUCCCUGGGCUCAACCCAGGGCCUGCAUCGGAAACUGUCGGGCUUGAGUAUGGGAGAGGUGAGUGGAAUUUCCGGUGUAGCGGUGAAAUGCGUAGAUAUCGGAAGGAACACCUGUGGCGAAAGCGGCUCACUGGACCAUUACUGACGCUGAGGCACGAAAGCUAGGGGAGCAAACAGG
rnacentral:rRNA from 1 species